ACCCCAGGCUGGGCACACUUCAGCACCAUUAGUGGAAGAGAAGCCUUGCAAAGGGUAUCACACAGCUGGAGGGAGAACACAGAGGGCUCAUUGCUGACACCAAGCAACAAUGGACCUGACUUCAAUUCUCUCCCUGGAAACCUGGGUCCUCCUGGUAAUCAGCCUGGUCCUCCUAUACCGAUACGGGACCCGUAACCAUGAUGUUUUUAAGAAACAGGGAAUUCCUGGACCCAAACCUCUGCCAUUUUUAGGAACUCUGAUGAAUUACUAUGAGGGUAUAUGGAAAUUUGAUGCUAUGUGCUAUAAAAAAUAUGGAAAAAUCUGGGGGUUACAUGAUGGUCGAACACCUGUGUUAGCUAUCACAGACACAGAGAUGAUCAAAAAUGUACUAGUGAAGGACUGCUAUUCUGUGUUCACAAACCGACGGAGUUUUGGCCCAGUGGGGAUAAUGAGUAAAGCCCUCUCAUCAGCUAAGGAUGAGGAGUGGAAGAGAAUUCGAGCCUUGCUGUCUCCCACCUUCACCAGUGGAAAACUCAAAGAGAUGUUCCCCAUCAUUGAACACUACGGAGAUAUUUUGGUAAAAUACUUGAGAAGAGAGGCAGAGAAAGGCAAGCCUCUUACUUUGAAAGAAGUGUUAGGGGCCUACAGCUUGGAUGUCAUUACGAGCACGGCAUUUGGUGUGAACGUCGAUUCCCUCAACAACCCAAAUGAUCCUUUUAUGGAAAAGACCAAGAAGCUAUUAAGAUUAGAUUUUUUUAGUCCAUUACUUAUGUCAAUAGUACUCUUUCCAUUUCUUACACCAAUAUAUGAGAUGUUAAAUGUCACCAGAUACCCAAAGGAUUCGAUAGCAUUCUUCAAAAAAUUUGUGGCUAGAAUGAAGGAAAACCGGCUGAACUCUGAUGAGAAGCACAGAGUAGAUUUUCUUCAGCUGAUGAUGAACACUCAAAUUAAUUCCAAAGACAAAGAAUCUCAUAAAGUUCUGUCUGACGCAGAAAUUAUGGCCCAGUCAGUUAUUUUUAUUUUUGGUGGCUACGAAACCACCAGCAACACCCUUGCCUUUGCCCUGUAUUUACUGGCCACUCAGCCUGAUAUCCAGAAGAAACUGCAGGAGGAGAUCGAUGUGGCUCUGCCCAAUAAGGCACCUCCCAGCUAUGAUAAAGUGAUGGAGAUGGAGUACCUCGACAUGGUGCUGAGUGAAACGCUCAGAUUAUACCCAAUUUCUGACAGACUUGAGAGAGUCUGUAAACAAGAUAUGGAAAUGGGUGGUGUGUUUAUUCCCAAGGGGUCAAUAGUGAUGAUACCAAUGUUUUCUCUUCACCGUGACCCACAGUACUGGCCGGAGCCUGAAGAAUUCCACCCUGAAAGGUUCAGCAAGGAGAACAAGGGCAGCAUCAAUCCUUAUGUGUACAUGCCCUUUGGGUAUGGACCCAGGAACUGCAUUGGCAUGAGGUUUGCUCUCAUGAACAUGAAACUUGCUCUCACUAAACUCCUGCAGAAUUUCUCCUUCCAGCCUUGUAAGGAAACACAGAUUCCCUUGAAAUUACACAGAAAACCACUUCUUAAACCAGAAAAACCCAUUGUUCUAAAGGUUGUACCACGGGAUGUGCUCAUAACUGGAGCAUGACUUUCCCUCAAGGACUCUGCAGUGUUCCUCUUCAGGUGGUGUCCAAGAACAUUGGAAUCUUUAAUUUACUUCAUGAAUAAAACACAGAUUCCCUUGAAAUUACACAGAAAACCACUUCUUAAACCAGAAAAACCCAUUGUUCUAAAGGUUGUACCACGGGAUGUGCUCAUAACUGGAGCAUGACUUUCCC